UACGUAGGGUGCAAGCGUUGUCCGGAAUUAUUGGGCGUAAAGAGCUUGUAGGCGGUUUGUCGCGUCUGCUGUGAAUUUCGGGGCUCAACCCCGAACUUGCAGUGGGUACGGGCAGGCUAGAGUGUGGUAGGGGAGACGUGGAAUUCCUGGUGUAGCGGUGAAAUGCGCAGAUAUCAGGAGGAACACCGGUGGCGAAGGCGGGUCUCUGGGCCGUAACUGACGCUGAGGAGCGAAAGCAUGGGGAGCGAACAGG
rnacentral:rRNA from 1 species